rfam:Oryza glaberrima chromosome 5 Oglab05_0139_9, whole genome shotgun sequence.
AAAAAGGCAAACCCUGGGUAUCCGUGCCAACGUUUGACUGUCCGUCUUAUAUGAAAUUUUUUUAUAAUUAGUAUUUUCAUUGUUGUUAGAUGAUAAAACAUGAUUAAUACUUUAUGCGUGACUUGUCUUUUUAAUUUUUCAUAAUUUUUUCAAAUAAGACGGACGAUCAAACGUUGCACACGGAUACCAGAGUUUGUCUUUUUU